GAGUUUGAUCAUGGCUCAGGAUGAACGCUGGCGGCGUGCUUAACACAUGCAAGUCGAACGAACCUUCGGGUUAGUGGCGGACGGGUGAGUAACGCGUGAGAAUCUGCCCUCAGGAGGGGGACAACAGCUGGAAACGGCUGCUAAUACCCCAUAUGCCGCGAGGUGAAAUGAAUUUCGCCUGAGGAUGAGCUCGCGUCUGAUUAGCUAGUUGGUGUAGGUAAUGGCUCACCAAGGCAUCGAUCAGUAGCUGGUCUGAGAGGAUGAUCAGCCACACUGGGACUGAGACACGGCCCAGACUCCUACGGGAGGCAGCAGUGGGGAAUUUUCCGCAAUGGGCGAAAGCCUGACGGAGCAACGCCGCGUGAGGGAUGAAGGCCUCUGGGCUGUAAACCUCUUUUAUCAAGGAAGAAGAUCUGACGGUACUUGAUGAAUAAGCCACGGCUAAUUCCGUGCCAGCAGCCGCGGUAAUACGGGAGUGGCAAGCGUUAUCCGGAAUUAUUGGGCGUAAAGCGUCCGCAGGCGGCCCUUCAAGUCUGCUGUUAAAAAGUGGAGCUUAACUCCAUCAUGGCAGUGGAAACUGUUGGGCUUGAGUGUGGUAGGGGCAGAGGGGAUUCCCGGUGUAGCGGUGAAAUGCGUAGAUAUCGGGAAGAACACCAGUGGCGAAGGCGCUCUGCUGGGCCAUCACUGACGCUCAUGGACGAAAGCCAGGGGAGCGAAAGGGAUUAGAUACCCCUGUAGUCCUGGCCGUAAACGAUGAACACUAGGUGUCGGGGGAAUCGACCCCCUCGGUGUCGUAGCCAACGCGUUAAGUGUUCCGCCUGGGGAGUACGCACGCAAGUGUGAAACUCAAAGGAAUUGACGGGGGCCCGCACAAGCGGUGGAGUAUGUGGUUUAAUUCGAUGCAACGCGAAGAACCUUACCAGGGUUUGACAUCCUGCGAAUCUUUUGGAAACAAGAGAGUGCCUUCGGGAACGCAGUGACAGGUGGUGCAUGGCUGUCGUCAGCUCGUGUCGUGAGAUGUUGGGUUAAGUCCCGCAACGAGCGCAACCCACGUCUUUAGUUGCCAGCAUUUAGUUGGGCACUCUAGAGAGACUGCCGGUGAUAAACCGGAGGAAGGUGUGGAUGACGUCAAGUCAUCAUGCCCCUUACAUCCUGGGCUACACACGUACUACAAUGCUACGGACAAAGGGCAGCAAGUUCGCGAGGACAAGCAAAUCCCAUAAACCGUGGCUCAGUUCAGAUCGUAGGCUGCAACUCGCCUACGUGAAGGCGGAAUCGCUAGUAAUCGCAGGUCAGCAUACUGCGGUGAAUACGU
rnacentral:rRNA from 1 species